rnacentral:rRNA from 1 species
CCUACGGGAGGCAGCAGUGGGGAAUAUUGCACAAUGGGGGAAACCCUGAUGCAGCGACGCCGCGUGAGUGAAGAAGUAUUUCGGUACGUAAAGCUCUAUCAGCAGGGAAGAAAAUGACGGUACCUGACUAAGAAGCCCCGGCUAACUACGUGCCAGCAGCCGCGGUAAUACGUAGGGGGCAAGCGUUAUCCGGAUUUACUGGGUGUAAAGGGAGCGUAGACGGCAGCGCAAGUCUGGAGUGAAAUCCCAUGGCUUAAACAUGGAAGUGCUUUGGAAACUGUGCAGCUAGAGUGCAGGAGAGGUAAGCGGAAUGCCUGGUGUAGCGGUGAAAUGCGUAGAUAUUAGGAGGAACACCGGUGGCGAAGGCAGCUUACUGGACUGUAACUGACGUUGAGGCUCGAAAGCGUGGGGAGCAAACAGGAUUAGAUACCCUUGUAGUC